AUACGUAGGGGACGAGCGUUGUCCGGAAUUACUGGGCGUAAAGGGCGCGCAGGCUGUGCUGCAAGUCAGCUGUGAAAUGUCUGGGCUUAACCCGGGCAUGCGGUUGAGACUGCAGUGCUGGAGUGCUGUAGAGGCAAGUGGAAUUCCCAGUGUAGCGGUGAAAUGCGUAGAUAUUGGGAAGAACACCGGUGGCGAAGGCGACUUGCUGGGCAGCAACUGACGCUGAGGCGCGAAAGCCAGGGGAGCAAACGGGAUUAGAUACCCCGGUAGUCCUGGCCGUAAACGAUGAAUGCUAGGUGUGGGUGUAGAGAUACAUUCGUGCCGGAGUUAACGCGAUAAGCAUUCCGCCUGGGGAGUACGGUCGCAAGAUUGAA
rnacentral:rRNA from 1 species